AGUGGCGGACGGGUGAGUAACGCGUGAGGAUCUGCCCUUAGGAUGGGGACAACAGUUGGAAACGACUGCUAAUACCCAAUGUGCCGAAAGGUGAAAGCUUUAGCGCCUGAGGAUGAACUCGCGUCUGAUUAGCUAGUUGGUAGUGUAAUGGACUACCAAGGCGACGAUCAGUAGCUGGUCUGAGAGGAUGAUCAGCCACACUGGGACUGAGACACGGCCCAGACUCCUACGGGAGGCAGCAGUGGGGAAUUUUCCGCAAUGGGCGAAAGCCUGACGGAGCAACGCCGCGUGAGGGAAGACGGCUCGUGGGUUGUAAACCUCUUCUCUCUAGGAAGAAGAACUGACGGUACUAGAGGAAUCAGCAUCGGCUAACUCCGUGCCAGCAGCCGCGGUAAUACGGAGGAUGCAAGCGUUAUCCGGAAUUAUUGGGCGUAAAGCGUCCAUAGGCGGUUUUACAAGUCUGCUGUUAAAGCGUGCAGCUCAACUGCAUAUAGGCAGUGGAAACUGUAAGACUAGAGUGUAGUAGGGGUAGAGGGAAUUCCCAGUGUAGCGGUGAAAUGCGUAGAUAUUGGGAAGAACACCGGUGGCGAAAGCGCUCUACUGGGCUACAACUGACGCUGAUGGACGAAAGCUAGGGGAGCGAAAGGGAUUAGACACCCCUGUAGUCCUAGCCGUAAACGAUGGACACUAGGUGUUG
rnacentral:rRNA from 1 species